GUCUUGUACUAUGCAUUUCCAGACCCCGAUUGGAAGAAGAUUACCAAAGUAUGGACGUUGUAAAACGGUGGCACUUUCCAGCUCUACGGCGGACCGACUCUUUCUCUAUCUAACCCGACAAGCAUUCUUUCAAGGAGGGGAAGAGGAGCAGCCCAGGAGUUUGUCUUUGCGUGUGAUCAGUGGUGCCUGCCCCCCCCCCCCCCCACGAGCUCGGGAGCAAGGUCCAAAGGCGGCGUUGAUAAGUCCACCUACUCAAGGUUCAGCAGGCACCCUCGUCACGAAUCUGCACGGCCUCCCUUCUUCUCUUCCUUGGAGCUCAGAUCCUCGGCAGCGUCGGCGUUGUUGCUGUGAGCCUUCGAGGUCGCGGCCAAAGCUCCGGGCAGAGAUUGGCUAUUCUUCAGCUUGAAGACGAGCGCUCCGCUACGUGUCAAUCUAAAAAUGGAGGUGCACUGGCGCGUCGCUCCACGAUGGCGGGCUGGAUCUGAUUGCUUCCAGGUCCGGACAGCUCAGGAACAGGAGCCCCCCCCCCCCCCGAAAAGGUUCACGCAGAAGACGGCGAGCUCUUGUUUUCCCCCAAAAGGGGAGGGGCAGAUGUGUGACUGUUGACUUUCCAGCCUCCCAAAAUGACCAGUUUUCUCACGCGGCUCCUCCAUCGGGACUGCUUAAAAUUUGAGAUUUCGACCCGCUCGAAACUGGAGAAAGACUUUGCGACCAGUCGUAGAAAAAGUAAGAAGUAGGAUUCAUGUGAUCCACAUCAACCUCCAAACAGUUGGACCGCCAUCGACAGCAGCGUAACGGGCGGAACUUUAUUUUCCAACCAUUCAUCGUUGACAAUUGGCAUCAAGCCU